rnacentral:rRNA from 1 species
AGUGGCGAACGGGUGAGUAACGCGUGGGCAACCUGCCUUUCGGAGCGGAAUAGCCUCGGGAAACCGGGAGUAAAGCCGCAUAACAUUAUUUUUUCGCAUGAAGAAAUAAUCAAAACUCCGGUGCCGAAAGAUGGGCCCGCGUCCUAUUAGCUGGUUGGUGAGGCAACGGCUCACCAAGGCGACGAUAGGUAGCCGGUCUGAGAGGGCGAACGGCCACACUGGAACUGAGACACGGUCCAGACUCCUACGGGAGGCAGCAGUGGGGAAUAUUGCGCAAUGGGGGCAACCCUGACGCAGCAAUACCGCGUGAGUGAAGAAGGUUUUCGGAUCGUAAAGCUCUGUUAUUGGGGAAGAAGAAGUGACGGUACCCAAUGAGGAAGUCCCGGCUAAUUACGUGCCAGCAGCCGCGGUAAUACGUAAGGGACGAGCGUUGUCCGGAAUCACUGGGCGUAAAGGGCGCGUAGGCGGUUUUAUAAGUCAGAUGUGAAAGGUACCGGCUCAACCGGUGACGUGCAUUUGAAACUGUAAGACUUGAGUACUGAAGAGGCAAGCGGAAUUCCUAGUGUAGCGGUGAAAUGCGUAGAUAUUAGGAAGAACACCGGUGGCGAAGGCGGCUUGCUGGGCAGAUACUGACGCUGAGGUGCGAAAGCAUGGGGAGCGAACAGGAUUAGAUACCCUGGUAGUCCAUGCCGUAAACGAUGAAUACUAGGUGUUGGCAGUUAUGUCAGUGCCACAGUUAACACAAUAAGUAUUCCGCCUGGGGAGUACGACCGCAAGGUUGAAACUCAAAGGAAUUGACGGGGACCCGCACAAGCAGCGGAGCAUGUGGUUUAAUUCGAA